CACAGAGGAGCAAUCGUAAAUGCACGUAUACAAUCUGUGGACACAGUAAAUGGAGCUUUUUAAAUUGAAACAUAGAAGACAAAGGAAGGUCAACCCCUGCACCAUUAGAGAGAAAACACCAACAAUCAGAUUCUUCAAUAUAAGCAGCAGAGAGAGACAACUGCAACUGACUGGUCAUGAAGCGGAAGAGAAGAUAGAAAAGAGGAGCAGAGAGAGACAAGGACACAAUACCAACUAAGAGAAUACAUUUAAUAAAUGAGUUUAAUGACUUGAAAGAGAGAAGAAAAAAUGUGAGUGUAACAUGGUCAGUCCCCCAGCAGUCUGAGCCUAGAGGAACAUAAUUAAGGGAUCUGCAGGGUCACCUUUUCAUUUACGACAGCUAGCCAAGCAUGUCUUUUAUCCUGUCUUCCUUCUCUC